rnacentral:tRNA from 11 species
AGUGGCCUACUGGUUAACACGACGGCCUGGUAACCUAUGGGUCGUGGGUU